rnacentral:rRNA from 1 species
UUUUUGAAGCGAUUAGCUUGCUGAGAGUGGAAAUGUUGGUAACUUAGUGGCGGACGGGUGAGUAACGCGUGGAGAACCUGCCUUACACAGGGGGAUAACACUUAGAAAUAGGUGCUAAUACCGCAUAAGCGCACAGGACCGCAUGGUCCGGUGUGAAAAACUGAGGUGGUGUAAGAUGGCUCCGCGUCUGAUUAGCUUGUUGGUAGGGUAACGGCCUACCAAGGCGACGAUCAGUAGCCGGCCUGAGAGGGUGAACGGCCACAUUGGGACUGAGACACGGCCCAAACUCCUACGGGAGGCAGCAGUGGGGAAUAUUGGACAAUGGGGGAAACCCUGAUCCAGCGACGCCGCGUGAGUGAAGAAGUAUUUCGGUAUGUAAAGCUCUAUCAGCAGGGAAGAAAAUGACGGUACCUGACUAAGAAGCCCCGGCUAACUACGUGCCAGCAGCCGCGGUAAUACGUAGGGGGCAAGCGUUAUCCGGAUUUACUGGGUGUAAAGGGAGCGUAGACGGCAUUGCAAGUCUGAUGUGAAAGAUUGGGGCUCAACCCCAGGCCUGCAUUGGAAACUGUAAAGCUGGAGUACAGGAGAGGUAAGCGGAAUUCCUAGUGUAGCGGUGAAAUGCGUAGAUAUUAGGAGGAACACCAGUGGCGAAGGCGGCUUACUGGACUGUAACUGACGUUGAGGCUCGAAAGCGUGGGGAGCAAACAGGAUUAGAUACCCUGGUAGUCCACGCCGUAAACGAUGAUUACUAGGUGUCGGUGGGCAUGGGCCCA